UCGAGCGGACAGAUGGGAGCUUGCUCCCUGAUGUUAGCGGCGGACGGGUGAGUAACACGUGGGUAACCUGCCUGUAAGACUGGGAUAACUCCGGGAAACCGGGGCUAAUACCGGAUGGUUGUUUGAACCGCAUGGUUCAGACAUAAAAGGUGGCUUCGGCUACCACUUACAGAUGGACCCGCGGCGCAUUAGCUAGUUGGUGAGGUAACGGCUCACCAAGGCAACGAUGCGUAGCCGACCUGAGAGGGUGAUCGGCCACACUGGGACUGAGACACGGCCCAGACUCCUACGGGAGGCAGCAGUAGGGAAUCUUCCGCAAUGGACGAAAGUCUGACGGAGCAACGCCGCGUGAGUGAUGAAGGUUUUCGGAUCGUAAAGCUCUGUUGUUAGGGAAGAACAAGUGCCGUUCAAAUAGGGCGGCACCUUGACGGUACCUAACCAGAAAGCCACGGCUAACUACGUGCCAGCAGCCGCGGUAAUACGUAGGUGGCAAGCGUUGUCCGGAAUUAUUGGGCGUAAAGGGCUCGCAGGCGGUUUCUUAAGUCUGAUGUGAAAGCCCCCGGCUCAACCGGGGAGGGUCAUUGGAAACUGGGGAACUUGAGUGCAGAAGAGGAGAGUGGAAUUCCACGUGUAGCGGUGAAAUGCGUAGAGAUGUGGAGGAACACCAGUGGCGAAGGCGACUCUCUGGUCUGUAACUGACGCUGAGGAGCGAAAGCGUGGGGAGCGAACAGGAUUAGAUACCCUGGUAGUCCACGCCGUAAACGAUGAGUGCUAAGUGUUAGGGGGUUUCCGCCCCUUAGUGCUGCAGCUAACGCAUUAAGCACUCCGCCUGGGGAGUACGGUCGCAAGACUGAAACUCAAAGGAAUUGACGGGGGCCCGCACAAGCGGUGGAGCAUGUGGUUUAAUUCGAAGCAACGCGAAGAACCUUACCAGGUCUUGACAUCCUCUGACAAUCCUAGAGAUAGGACGUCCCCUUCGGGGGCAGAGUGACAGGUGGUGCAUGGUUGUCGUCAGCUCGUGUCGUGAGAUGUUGGGUUAAGUCCCGCAACGAGCGCAACCCUUGAUCUUAGUUGCCAGCAUUCAGUUGGGCACUCUAAGGUGACUGCCGGUGACAAACCGGAGGAAGGUGGGGAUGACGUCAAAUCAUCAUGCCCCUUAUGACCUGGGCUACACACGUGCUACAAUGGACAGAACAAAGGGCAGCGAAACCGCGAGGUUAAGCCAAUCCCACAAAUCUGUUCUCAGUUCGGAUCGC
rnacentral:rRNA from 1 species